rnacentral:lncRNA from 1 species
GCUGUUAAAAUUUUAUUCUCAGAAGGUGGAAAAUUACUGAAGAGCUUUCAUCAAAAGGUUGACAUGAUCCAGUUUGUAUUUUUGGAACAUCUGUCCUGCUGAAUGGAGAAAUCAGUUGGAUGGAGGCAAGAGAGAAAGUAGGGAAACCUGGGGGUUGCCCUGCCACACAACAGAUUUGAAAAGGCUGGCAUUCAAAGGAAACAAGUGGAUUUUAAAGCGGGAAGUGUCAUAGCCCCUAUGAAGCAAGGCACUGGAAUCAGCCGCUAUUGUGUGUGCCUGUGUCAUCGUGGCCGCUGGCCACUCUGACGAGGCCAUUUCACUUGUUACCUGUCACAUUGCUGAGGACUCCCAUUUUACAGAUGGAAACUCAGAGACCUAAAAUGACUUGUCCCCUGUUCCACCUGAUCAUAGGUGGGAGAAACAGAAUUUGAACCUGGGAGUCACCUCUGAGGUCCAAGCUGUCCCCAGUACACCAUCCUGCCUCUUCCUUGGGGAGAUGCUCAUUGUCCCACACUGGAUUGGUCCUGAAGCAUGGGACUCCAGCACUGGUUACUACUCUGUCUUCUAAACCUAGAACGGUGUGUGGCAAAAGCAGGCACUCAGAAAGAAGUCUGAGGGAGUGAAUGGCUGACCAACUUGAUGAAGGCAUUGCUGGGUACUCAGUUUGGUCACAAGCUUCACACUCUCUUUGGUUUCUGAUCACCUGGGGGCAAAGUCACUUUCACCUCAGUACCCCUCUCCAUGUAUGGUGUGUGGUUCCUAAAAUACAUGAAGUAGCUGCUGAAUGAAUGCAAGCAUAGAUGCAUGAACAAAUGAACCAGUGAAGGAUGUGGUUAAUGACUACCCCUCUCAUUCUCUCUGUAAUAACAACGCAUCUGUUUUGGAAAGAAGUAAAAAUGCCACAAAUAUA